AUGCAGCCAAUUAAGCCAAUCGGGUUCUUUUCCUCGUGGGGGCCUGGUGUGCAAGUGCUGUAAACUGGCCUCUCUGGUCGUGUAUGCAGCCUAUUACUUGUACUAAAUUUUCUCAGGAGCCUUGGAGAAAACU